UACGUAGGUGGCAAGCGUUAUCCGGAUUCACUGGGUUUAAAGGGUGCGUAGGCGGAUAUGUAAGUCCGUGGUGAAAUCUCUGGGCUUAACCCGGAAACUGCCAUGGAUACUAUGUGUCUUGAAUGUUGUUGAGGUGAGCGGAAUAUGUCAUGUAGCGGUGAAAUGCUUAGAUAUGACAUAGAACACCAAUUGCGAAGGCAGCUCACUAAGCAAAUAUUGACGCUGAGGCACGAAAGCGUGGGGAUCAAACAGG
rnacentral:rRNA from 1 species